UGCUGCUUGUUUGUAUUUCAGGCCAGCUGGCCUGAAAUGGCAGAAGGCAUUACAGUUCUUGGUCAGCAAGACUGUUUUGUGACUGGAGGCUUGGUCAGGUGGUUGAAUGAGAGCUCUCAAUUUCUUGGUGACCUUUAAUGUUGCCCAUAAACGCUGCCCCACUUCCCCUUUGGUGAAGGAGGGGUUUGUGAUCGUCAGUGGGAGCGAAACGAGGCCACGAGAGACGGCUUGUGCCUAUACAAACACGAGCUGUGGUUGUUUGAGGUCCAAAUUCCCAUCUCUAAGCUGAGGAAAUAACUGUGGCCUUGCGUGCAGGGAAAAUCAACUCCUGAGGCCUGAAGUGAAGCUCCAUAUUCAAGCAGCACCAAUCAUUCCCUGGUGAGUAAUGUUGCAGGAACAAGGAGAUGCUUAGCCUAAGAAUCAGCAGGUCCUGGUCAAAAGCACUGCUUGGUCCUCUUCCUGACUUCUAUAGGAAAAAAGCAGCAAUGAGAGGCUAGCAUAGGAUGUGGCAACUCCUGAAUCUGAACAGCUGUCAGCUUUAGGACUGGGGGAUGUACUGUUGUGUAAUGUAUGUGGUAGCACUUGUUACUCUUGGUUCCACUAUGCAUAGCCACAAAAUAUCUUAAAAUAAAUUGGCCAUAUGUUUUCACAAAAUGGGUUAUACUCUGAAAUGACUUAUCUGUUUUGUUCAAGAAUUCUUCAUGUCCUGUUAUGCCUUUUUCAUUCAGAUGGCUCCUUGUUUUAAUACUGCAUGUGUUAUAUGGUAUCCAGAGUUCUGGUUUUGUUCCAGUGAUGUUUGCAGUUCAGCACUAUUUUCCUCAACCUCUGUUUAAUAUUUUCAUCCCCAGAGUGGCACAGUGCAGUGGUACUUUUGUUUUGCUGCUGUAUUUGUGUUCUCUGUAUUUUCUUGAAGUGAUUUAUCUUGCAGGUAUGUAAAUAUGUGUCACUCAAUUUCAUACUAAAAUACCAACAGAAUAGCUAUUUCCAAGAUGCAUUUUUUCAUACUCUAUUUAGAUGCUAAUUAGAAUUCAUCUCUUAUAUAGAUCUUGCUCAUCUUUUAUAUGGUUAAAUGUGCCUCCUGAAAUAACCAUCACCUGCUUUUCUCCCAGUGGCUGGGAUCUGCUUCACCAUUGCCUUUCUCUAGAGCUGUUAGUAAUGCAGAAGAG
ensembl:lncRNA